rnacentral:pre_miRNA from 1 species
UUGCUACUCUCUCCUAUCCAUAAUAUUUGUCUUAGAUUCGCCUAGAUAUGGAUGUAUCCAGACACGUUUUAGUGUUAGAUACAUCUGUAUCUAGACAAAUCUAAGACAAGUAAUAUGGAUCGAAAAGAGAGUGCGGC